rnacentral:lncRNA from 1 species
CACCACCUCUUUGUCUCUUUUUCAUUUCUCCUUGGUUGCACCACUUGUGUUUUAUGUGAAAUUUUGAUGAGGAAACAUCUACUCUACCUUUAUUUUUUCCUGAAAAGUUACCGAUAGUAAUUUGGAGAAGUUUAAACCAAGAUCAAAAGAGAUUUAAAGUAGUGGCUUAUAUGUUGGUAUGUUCAAAGCUAAGAAAAUCUUAAUUCAGCAUACUACCAAUUGCCUUUCAUUUUUUACCCAAUAGUCAUAAAAAAUGAAUCCGAAAGAUUCUAAAGUCUUGAUGUAUUUGUUUGUUUGUUUUGUUUUUUUAUUCUUUCUCUUUAAAUUUCUUGCAAGUAUCCAAUUUCUAAUAUCUUGAUCUGAAUUAUCUUUCAGAUGGUAAAGUUGAGGAAUUUGAAGUUCCAAAAGUGCCAGCGGAGAAAAUUAUUGACACAAACGGAGCAGGAGAUGCCUUCGUUGGUGGUUACUUGGCACAACUCAUCUUGGGAAAACCUUACCAAACUUCAAUCAAGUGUGGAAUGUGGGCUGCAUCUGAAAUCAUUCAAGUAUCUGGCACCAGUUUCAAGGGUAAAAAGUACUUUAAUGGGGAUAGUUAAAAACAGCACUUCAAAGUGGAAUCACACUCUGGCUCAGUUGUUCGAAGCUUUACUGAGCUGUAUGAUAUUUGCAAGCAGCUCAAUGAACAAUAUUUGAAACUUAAAAUUUAGCUAUGUUUGGACAAUGCUCACAUUUAGUUAAGUUCUGCUUUUGUUCUAACAUGCUCUCCAAUUUCAGACUUCAUUCUUUUUAUCCCAAGCUGUAUCCUUUGUCAUUAAGUUCUAGUUUGACCUUCAUUAUUUUCAUUACCGAAGCAUUUUAGUUUUGUAUUUUAAGUUUUCAGUUUUUGAGGUUUUUAUUGAAAUGGGUAUUUCUUAACUCAACUCAACCUCAUCUUAUGUGGCAAUUUUUUUUUUUGUCAUGAAUAUGUCUAGAUAGACUGUCAAAAUAGACCUACAUGAGUUCCUCAUAAAAUUUUGAAAAUAAGUGUAAUGAGUCUAUUUUUUUAACAGUUUAAGUAACUUGCUGGAAAAACUUUCUGUAGAAUUCGUGUCCGAUAAGUCGGCAGUUGUUUACUUUUGACUGUCAAGCUCCAUGGAUUGAUUUACAUAUCUGUGUCUGGCGGUGGUGGCCAAACCUCGAUUGCUAAUGGACGACUGCAACGCAGUUGCUUGUAAACAGGAAAUAAAAAAUUGCCAACUUAUCUGAUGCAAGUUCUAUUUAUUGUACUGUUUUUGUAAUGAAAGGAAUUAUUUAAAAAUCACACUUGAAUAGCUGAUAUUCCUAUUCCCAUAAUGAUUCCUCAAAUUAAUCUUGAGCACUGCACAAUCAGAAAAAUGUCUCAUAAAUAUGUAUGGAAAGGCUUAUAAAAUAUUUUAAUCAUUGAGGUCGGCACAUUGUUUACUACUCAUACAACAAUUUACUCUAGUUUUAUAUUUAAAGAUGCUGUUUGGAAGUAACAAGGCAAAAUUUUAAAUGCAAAUCAUUGCAAUUCUCUCUCACUCUGUAUUUUUUUCCCCUCUUUUUUUCAUAGACUGAUUUUAUUCACAAUCAAAACUUAUUUGUUCUGAAUCAUUGAAAAUUUUAUUUCUCAUUUGGCUGUGGAUAAUUUAAUCAAGAAUGCUGAGUUUGUUUGCAAAGACUCAUCAAAGCUUAUUCAGAUAAUUGUUUUGAAUUGAUGAAGUUUGUCUCAGUACUCAGUAGCAGAUACCAAUUGUAAGACUAUUAAUUUAAUAGACCAAAAGAGCGUGCUGACAGACCCCAGAGAGCAUUUUUAGGUAGAAUUUUAUGAAACUGAAAAUCAUUAUAUUCUCAUCAUCUUGACCCAACGUCCUGCGAGGUGAAUUUAAAUUUCAUGUCCCAUUUUAAACAUAUUCUAAGCUAAAUUAAGGCGCAUAUUGCCCAGGCUCAGUGCAAAUUAGCCCUGACAAUUAGCCUGAACACUUCUUCAGGUACAAAGGAUCAGACCAAAUGCAACAGUCAGUAGUCACGGAUGUAUUAUUCAAUUGUUUGAAAAAUGUGAACUGUGGAAAGUUGCCACGCGUGUGAAGCAAGUUGAAGGCAAAGAGGAAAAAACACGAAUAUUGUCAUGUCAAAACUUGAUUUCCUUAAAGGACUAUUAGCUAUGUAGAACGAAUUAGGUGACUAGCCUAUUCAGGAGUUGUCACAGCAAGUAAAUUGAAUUGAUUUUAAAUGAUUUUGCCUUGAUCAAGCUAUGUGUACAUCAAUCUUUAGCGACAGGUGACUCAUUUUUUUUUUCUCCGCCAAAAUACUUAAAAAUGGUACAUGAAAUUUCUAAGCAGAUAAAGAGACUUUCCUCAAAAGAAUGAAGAGAGUGACUUAAGUUUCUUCAAAUUCUUCCAAAAGUAGACUUUAAUUACAAGCUUGCAGGUUCUUUUUUUGUGAUUCUUCCGAUAGAUUUAUUUUUUACUUUAUGAUAAGAGAACUUGGUUUGAACAAACCAAAUUGUUGACUACAGGUGAAGGACUACCACAUUGCUGACUUUUCAAUUGUUUUGUUUUCAAACCUUCCUUGAAUGUGAAGCACCAGAUUUGCUGUUUUAAGCAGUGAAAUGGAAACGUGUACACCCACUCACCAAUUUUGUAUUUUCUGGGAAAGAAUUUUUCUGAAUUUGUGAUCUCUUAUUAUUUCUAUGUGGUUGUAUGUUUAUUUUAAAUCUCUUGUUACCGAACACCAUGAUGUUUAAUGAUUAUGAAUUGAGAUGUUACCUAUUUGUAAUUGAAGGAUUGCAUUAAAAUGUCUGGAAACAUUUUUAGGAUGUCGAAUUUCUGAUUUGCCAUACAUCUUAUGAGCCUCUGAUAGAUUAUCCUCCCCUAAUGAAGAUAGCACCUGGCAAAAAACAAUUGGAAAACAUUGAGGAAGACGAUUUUAUUUCUUUUAUUUUUUUAGUCCAGUGCAUCAACUCAUCAAUGUUUACCUUUUUUUGUACAAAUACAUCAGGUGUCCCAAAAGCAUUGCACACUCCUGUGUUUGAGAGAACAGUAAAAGUUAUUCUCUUGAGAUUUGCACAGGGUUCCAGGUUAAACCCUCAGCUCAAAACAAGACCAUGUGCAGGUUUCUGACUUAAUAACUACCAAAGUGAUAGCAUUUUGUAGAUGAUGUGUAAGAAGGGACCCUGGCAGUUUUUUAGCACUUGCUCUAAUUUAAAAGAUCAAAAAUUUAGACUCAGGAAAGUAUCCAACGGAAUUCAAUUGGCAAUAGAGUGAUGUUCGAGAAAAAUUGCAAUGGAAAGUGAUGACAAAAUUUCAAUUGUUGACACACAAGCUCAGUCUGGAGGAUCAAAUUUUUCAGUAGUCCGAGCAUUUUUUACAUUCAUUAAGUGCUAAAAAUACGCUAGGAUCCCUCCUUACCUGUUAUCUUUUAAAUUUUUUAACUUCGGCAGUUUUCAAAUGAGAGACGCCUGCACCAGGUCCUGCUUUAAGGCUGAGGUUUAAAUCUAAAGCCGUAUGCAAAUCGCAUCUUCAUUUGCUCUUACACAAGAAGUUCGCUGUACUUUUGGGGCUCCCUGUGUAAAAACUAAAAAAUGCACACCAUGGUUGGAUUUCUGUUCAAUUGUUCAUUUGCCAUAAACAAUCUUUACACAUGAGAAAUUGACAGAUUACAUGCACUUAUCUCCUUUUUAAAGUAGACUUAUCAUCUUGCAGGCAAUGCAACAUUUUAAUGAACUCUAUUUGUUCAUUCCUAGAACUCCUCAGUUUUGUCUGUUAAUGAGGCCAUUUAGACUUAACAUGUUGUGUCAUAUUUCUUUAUUUUGUUACUAAAUUAUUGCAUGACUUUUUUUAAUGUUUUUCAAAAGGCGUCAUGUUUCUGUCAAAUCCUCUUUGAUUGUGAUAAUAUAUUCCUCCAUGUAAUAAUACUAAUAAUUCGUUUUUCUCUGCUUUUUCCUCACUAUUUUGUGAUAAAAUUGAUCAUAACUCAAAGAAACACAGAAAAUUUAAAGCUGAGUGAUAAAAUCUAAAAGUGAAAUUAAAUAGAACUUUAUUUUUACUUACCCCAUCUGAAUUUCCCACAUACUGUCCAACUAUCAAAUCAUUUUGAACCAUAAAAAUGAAAGUAAACAUCACUGUAAGUAGGCUUAUAGUUCUAAAAUUAGUCUCAUGGCAGCAUUUCAAUGCUCUUUGAAUUCUGUUAAAGAUGCACAGUGUUUCUUACCGAAAAAUUCACAAUUGACAUUUGUUCAUUUACUAUUCUGUAACAAUACUAAAACCUGUUUUUUAAAUUUUGUCCAGUAAAAAAUUAACAAAGAAUGGUAAAAACUCUGGUCGCGAAACUAGAGAAGAAUUUAAAUUCUACACAGCAUGGAUUAAACAAAACAGAAAAGAAGGGAAACCCAACAGAAUAAAUAUUAGUAAAGAUAUGCUCUUUAAAAGUAAAAACUGGAAAUUGGGAAGAACAAAUCAACGAUUAGUUGUGACUGUUGUGAGAGCUUGUCAUUGACUCAUCGGGCAGCUUCAAAUGCUGACUAGACAAGACCGUAUUGCCAGCAUGGAAGUUGAGCAGAAUGCUUGUCCUGGUAUUGAUUGAUCUAUUACCACAAUUAAAACAUGUAGGAUGAAGAACAUGAAGGACCCAAGCACUACACCAUAGAAGGCUGCUAGCCAUUUGGGAAUUAAAACCGGUCCAUGAAUUUUACUGUGGGUAAUGCCACCUGGAAUGCCAAAACAUAAUUGCAAAGUUUAAAGAAUGGAGAAAGACAGCAUACUUAAUUGUAUAUAUGUUAAAUUAAAAAGAGACAUCAUCAAGGGUUGAUUUGAUUAGCGAGUGAGAAACUUUGUGACCCAUGUUAGGUAUGCCUACGUCUUAACAGGAUAGGAACUUUUUCAGACUCAGGGAUGCUCCAAACUCUAGUGAGAGCUUCUGUUUUGUGGAUUCUUAUAUUUUAACUACUCAGAAUUCACUCACUUCUAUGCACUGCUUAUUCAUCAAAUAUCAAUCAAAUAUAAGAGGAAAGGAUAUGGAGUACUAUCACUCCAAACUUUACCAGGUACACGUUGACCAUGCAAAGUUUCAAGUACACUUUCAUUACUCCAGUAAAAUAUGGAUUUAUAAUAGUUUGAAAAGAUUUUUUAAUGUGAUUUGAAGUGA